rnacentral:rRNA from 1 species
UACGUAGGGUGCGAGCGUUGUCCGGAAUUAUUGGGCGUAAAGGGCUCGUAGGCGGUUUGUCGCGUCGGGAGUGAAAACCCAGGGCUUAACCCUGGGCUGGCUUCCGAUACGGGCAGACUAGAGGUAUGCAGGGGAGAACGGAAUUCCUGGUGUAGCGGUGAAAUGCGCAGAUAUCAGGAGGAACACCGGUGGCGAAGGCGGCUCCCUGGUCCGGCCCUGACGCUGAGACGCGAAAGCGCGGGGAGCGAACGGG